rnacentral:sRNA from 1 species
GAAAAUCUCACAUUGUGUAAAUAACACACACGUAUCGACACCUUACUCCGGGGUGCCCAAAAGCGUUAAAACUUUUGUGGUCGGUUGUAUGGGAUACGUGGAGGCCUAACC